AGAGUUUGAUCCUGGCUCAGGAUGAACGCUGGCGGCGUGCUUAACACAUGCAAGUCGAACGAAGAUGCCGGAGUGCUUGCACUUUGGCAGACUGAGUGGCGGACGGGUGAGUAACGCGUGGGUAACCUGCCUUAUACAGGGGGAUAACAGUUGGAAACGACUGCUAAUACCGCAUAAGCGCACGGUAUCGCAUGAUACAGUGUGAAAAACUCCGGUGGUAUAAGAUGGACCCGCGUCUGAUUAGCUUGUUGGUGAGGUAACGGCUCACCAAGGCGACGAUCAGUAGCCGGCCUGAGAGGGUGAACGGCCACAUUGGGACUGAGACACGGCCCAAACUCCUACGGGAGGCAGCAGUGGGGAAUAUUGCACAAUGGGGGAAACCCUGAUGCAGCGACGCCGCGUGAGUGAUGAAGUAUUUCGGUAUGUAAAACUCUAUCAGCAGGGAAGAUAAUGACGGUACCUGACUAAGAAGCACCGGCUAAAUACGUGCCAGCAGCCGCGGUAAUACGUAUGGUGCAAGCGUUAUCCGGAUUUACUGGGUGUAAAGGGUGCGUAGGUGGUAUGGCAAGUCAGAAGUGAAAGGCUGGGGCUCAACCCCGGGACUGCUUUUGAAACUGUCAAACUAGAGUACAGGAGAGGAAAGCGGAAUUCCUAGUGUAGCGGUGAAAUGCGUAGAUAUUAGGAGGAACACCAGUGGCGAAGGCGGCUUUCUGGACUGAAACUGACACUGAGGCACGAAAGCGUGGGGAGCAAAACAGGAUUAGAUACCCUGGUAGUCCACGCCGUAAACGAUGAAUACUAGGUGUCGGGCAGCCAUAGCAUGUUCUGGUGCCGCAGCAUACGCAUUAAGUUUUCCACCUGGGGGAGUACGUUCGCAAGAAUGAAACUCAAAGGAAUUGACGGGGACCCCGCACAAGCGGUGGAGCAUGUGGUUUAAUUUGAAGGCAACGCGAAGAGCCUUACCAGGUCUUGGCAUCCCGAUGGCCGCUUCUUAGUCGAAGCUUUUCUUGGGAACAUCGGAGACAGGUGGUGCAUGGUGGUCGUCAGCUCGUGUCGUGAGAUGUUGGGUUAAGUCCCGCAACGAGCGCAACCCCUAUUUUCAGUAGCCAGCAUUUUGGAUGGGCACUCUGGAGAGACUGCCCGGGAUAACCGGGAGGAAGGUGGGGAUGACGUCAAAUCAUCAUGCCCCUUAUGAUCUGGGCUACACACGUGCUACAAUGGCUGUUACAGAGAGAAGCGAAUCCGCGAGGAAGAGCAAACCUCAAAAAGGCAGUCUCAGUUCGGAUUGUAGUCUGCAACUCGACUACAUGAAGCUGGAAUCGCUAGUAAUCGCGAAUCAGAAUGUCGCGGUGAAUAAAUUCCCGGGUCUUGUACUCACCGCCCGUCA
rnacentral:rRNA from 1 species